GUGAGCACCAUGGCCUGGACUCCUCUCCUCCUCGUGCUCCUCUCUCACUGCACAGGAUCCCUCCCCCAGCCUGUGCUGACUCAGCCGCCCUCAGUGUCUGGGAACCCAGGACAGAGGGUCACCAUCUCCUGCACUGGAAGCAGCUCCAACAUCGGGGGUUAUGAUGUGCAAUGGUUCCAACAGCUCCCAGGAACGGCCCCCAAAACCCUCAUCUCUGCUAAUAGCAAUCGAUACUCAGGGGUCCCUGACCGAUUCUCUGGCUCCGCGUCUGGCAGCUCAGCCACCCUGACCAUCAAUGGGCUCCAGGCUGAGGAUGAGGCCGAUUAUUACUGCCAGACCUAUGAUGACAAUCUCAAUGCUCGCACAGUGCUGCAGGCCUGUGGGGAAGUGAGACAAGAACCCCUGUGUCAUCUGGGAGCUGGGUGA